UACGGAGGGUGCGAGCGUUGCCCGGAUUUAUUGGGCGUAAAGGGCGCGCAGGCGGCCACGCACGUCCGUUGUGAAAUCGCCCGGCUCAACUGGGCGGGGUCAGCGGAUACGGCGUGGCCGGAGCAAGCUAGGGGGCAAUGGAAUUUCCGGUGUAGUGGUGGAAUGCGUAGAUAUCGGGAGGAACACCAGUGGCGAAGGCGGUUGCCUGGAGCUUUGCUGACGCUGAGGCGCGAAAGCGUGGGGAGCGAUCAGG
rnacentral:rRNA from 1 species